rnacentral:lncRNA from 1 species
AUUUCUUUUGAAAAGUUUGUAUAUUAAUGUUUUGACUUUAUUUGUAUAUAUAUUUCAAAUGAUGUGAUAUAGUAUAGAAUUCUUUAGAUUGCUAGAUAUUUUUUAAAUCCUUCAUCUCUCAGGCCUUAAGUGCCAUUUUGUGAUCUGUGCUCCUGACCUUGAACAGGUCAAAUAAGACAAUAACAAUCAAAACCAAGGAGUAAACAAAGACUCACAAAACCAAAGUACAUUUACAU